CAAAUCCAAAAAAAGAAGGGACAAGACGUCAUUAGUCUGUGGCCGGAACGCAUAACUGUGGUUAGACGCAAGUACAUACUUGUUUACAAGAAUCACAUCCGCUCGUCGUAGCGCGUCGCGCACACGGGUAGAUUCGGUAAAGUCCUCGUCCCACGCCUCGACACGAGGACCUGCUCGGAGAUGCCACAUUCGCCAGCGGUGCGAGGCCUCUACGAGUUGCUUCGAUGCAAUUUUGCUGGGCGCUGGCAUGUACUCGCACCCGUACGCUUCGCACCCUGUUUGCAACGAUGCUUGGAGUAGGCAGUUUCCAAUUCCACUGCCCAAAUCAACGAACACCGAAUCAGUGCCCAGGUUGGCAAUCCGCUCGACCUCGUUCAGAAAGGGAGGGAGCAUUUCACCGUACACCGAGUCAGAAAAUGCUUCGUAGUGCUUCAAGGAAUCCACAUGAGGUGCAGCCACGCGCGCGUACACCUGUUCUUGGACGGUACGCCACAGAUCUUCGGGUACGCCAUGGUUUCGACCGACUUGACGCAAGUGAGAGGCAACGGCACCGGCUUUUUUCAACGCACGGAAUUCAGCAUUGAACCGCUCUACAGUCUGGACAAAGAGAGGACCAUUCCGGCGAUUACGGGCUUUAGUGAAAGAUCGCAGGAUCGAUUCUUCAGGCGGUGCCGGCGAUGCUGAGCCGUCUUUCUGUGCAUGGUUGCUUGACAAUCCACUCGUGUCCACGCGAGUAGGCGGACGAUGGGCUCUGUUUAGGGGAGCACCAGCAUUGCUGCCCGUUUCCAAGCUAUCCACAGAGCCAAAUAGUUCACGUUGCUCUUCAGAGACAUAAUUCGAGACCAUGGCACGCACAGCGUGAAGCAGGUCUGAUAUAGGGUCGUAUUCAUCUGCCAUCUUGGG
rnacentral:lncRNA from 1 species